AUUGAACGCUGGCGGCAGGCUUAACACAUGCAAGUCGAGCGAGCGGCGGACGGGUGAGUAAUGUCUGGGAAACUGCCUGAUGGAGGGGGAUAACUACUGGAACCGGUAGCUAAUACCGCAUACCAUCAGAUGUGCCCAGAUGGGAUUAGCUAGUAGGUGGGGUAAUGGCUCACCUAGGCGACGCUCCCUAGCUGGUCUGCGAGGAUGACCAGCCACACUGGAACUGAGACACGGCCCAGACUCCUACGGGAGGCAGCAGGGGGGAAUAUUGGACAAUGGACGCAAGCCUGAUGCAGCCAUGCCGCGUGUGUGAAGAAGGCCUUCGGGUUGUAAAGCACUUUCAGCGAGGAAGCGUUACUCGCAGAGGAAGCAACGGCUAACUCCGUGCCAGCAGCCGCGGUAAUUC
rnacentral:rRNA from 1 species